rnacentral:rRNA from 1 species
CCUACGGGUGGCAGCAGUGAGGAAUAUUGGUCAAUGGACGAGAGUCUGAACCAGCCAAGUAGCGUGAAGGAAGAAGGAUCUAUGGUUUGUAAACUUCUUUUAUAGGGGAAUAAAGGUAUCCACGUGUGGAUAUUUGCAUGUACCCUAUGAAUAAGCAUCGGCUAACUCCGUGCCAGUAGCCGCGGUAAUACGGCGGAUGCGAGCGUUAUCCGGAUUUAUUGGGUUUACAGGGUGCGUAGGUUGUUUUUUAAGUCAGCGGUGAAAGUUUGUGGCUCAACCAUAAAAUUGCCGUUGAAACUGGAAGACUUGAGUGUGUUUGAGGUAGGCGGAAUGCGUGGUGUAGCGGUGAAAUGCAUAGAUAUCACGCAGAACUCCGAUUGCGAAGGCAGCUUACUAAGCCAUAACUGACACUGAAGCACGAAAGCGUGGGGAUCAAACAGGAUUAGAUACCCUAGUAGUC